rnacentral:rRNA from 1 species
UACAGAGGGUGCAAGCGUUGUUCGGAAUUAUUGGGCGUAAAGCGCGUGUAGGCGGCAGUGCAAGUCGGGUGUGAAAGCCCUCAGCUCAACUGAGGAAGUGCGCCCGAAACUGCAUGCUUGAGUACCGGAGAGGAUGGCGGAAUUCCCGAAGUAGAGGUGAAAUUCGUAGAUAUCGGGAGGAACACCGGUGGCGAAGGCGGCCAUCUGGACGGAUACGUGACGCUGAG